rnacentral:misc_RNA from 1 species
AACUUUUGGCAAUGGAUCUCUGAAGGCAGCACAAAUCGCGGAUGCCAGCCAUGUGCUGCUAAACGAUUUUGCGUCGCCACGACGCAACCGGCUAUUUGCGCCGCGGUCCAGGGAUGGGCGGUGUUUUGAUUUCCCGUGCCAUCAGGCUCGAGGAUCACCUCGACCGAAUCCGGCACCCAGCCAAAGGUGGCGUUGAGGUGAAUGAACGUGGCCUCCAUCAGUUCGGCAUACUCUUCCGCAUUGGUGUUAUGCUUAAAACUGAAGUCGCGAAAGUCCACGUAGCAGAGAUUUACCCAGACAGUUUCACCGCGGGCCGCCAGCCGUGAUUUAAGCAUAUCAAUAAGCGGAGGCU